UACGUAGGGUGCAAGCGUUAAUCGGAAUUACUGGGCGUAAAGCGUGCGCAGGCGGUUUUGUAAGUCAGAUGUGAAAGCCCCGGGCUCAACCCGGGAAGUGCACUCGAUACUGUCAAGCUAGAGUAUCGGAGAGGUUGGUGGAAUUCUCGGUGUAGAGGUGAAAUUCGUAGAUAUCGAGAGGAACACCGGUGGCGAAGGCGGCCAACUGGACGAAUACUGACGCUGAGACUCGAAAGCGUGGGGAGCAAACAGG
rnacentral:rRNA from 1 species